rnacentral:rRNA from 1 species
CUACGGGAUGCUGCAGUGGGGAAUUUUGGACAAUGGGCGAAAGCCUGAUCCAGCCAUUCCGCGUGAGUGAUGAAGGCCUUCGGGUUGUAAAGCUCUUUCGGCCGGGAAGAAAUCGUGCAGGCUAAUAUCCUGCAUGGAUGACGGUACCGGAUCAAGAAGCACCGGCUAACUACGUGCCAGCAGCCGCGGUAAUACGUAGGGUGCGAGCGUUAAUCGGAAUUACUGGGCGUAAAGCGUGCGCAGGCGGAUGUUUAAGCCAGAUGUGAAAUCCCCGGGCUUAACCUGGGAAUGGCAUUUGGAACUGGACAUCUAGAGUGUGUCAGAGGGGGGUGGAAUUCCACGUGUAGCAGUGAAAUGCGUAGAGAUGCGGAGGAACACCAGUGGCGAAGGCGACUUUCUGGACCAAUACUGACACUGAGGUGCGAAAGCGUGGGGAGCAAACAGGAUUAGAUACCCGGGUAGUC